UACGUAGGGGGCAAGCGUUGUCCGGAUUUAUUGGGCGUAAAGAGCGUGUAGGCGGCCAUACAGGUCCGUUGUGAAAACUCGAGGCUUAACCUCGAGACGUCGAUGGAAACCGUAUGGCUAGAGUCCGGAAGAGGAGAGUGGAAUUCCUGGAUGUAGCGGUGAAAUGACGCAGAUAUCAGGAAGAACACCCGUGGCGAAGGCGGCUCUCUGGGCCAUUCCUGACGCUGAGACGCGAAAGCUAGGGGAGCGAACAGG
rnacentral:rRNA from 1 species